rnacentral:rRNA from 1 species
CAGCAGCCGCGGUAAUACGAAGGGUGCAAGCGUUAAUCGGAAUUACUGGGCGUAAAGCGUGCGUAGGCGGUGAGUUAAGUCUGCUGUGAAAUCCCCGGGCUCAACCUGGGAAUGGCAGUGGAUACUGGCUCGCUAGAGUGUGUCAGAGGAUGGUGGGAUUCCCGGUGUAGCGGUGAAAUGCGUAGAGAUCGGGAGGAACAUCAGUGGCGAAGGCGGCCAUCUGGGACAACACUGACGCUGAGGCACGAAAGCGUGGGGAGCAAACAGGAUUAGAUACCCGAGUAGUCCCUGUCUCUUAUAC